CACGUAGGGCGCAAGCGUUGUCCGGAAUUAUUGGGCGUAAAGAGCUCGUAGGCGGUCUGUUGCGUCCGCUGUGAAAACUCGGGGCUUAACCCCGAGCCUGCAGUGGAUACGGGCAGACUAGAGGUAGGUAGGGGAGAAUGGAAUUCCCGGUGUAGCGGUGGAAUGCGCAGAUAUCAGGAGGAACACCGAUGGCGAAGGCAGGUCACUGGGCCGCAACUGACGCUGAGGAGCGAAAGCAUGGGGAGCGAACAGG
rnacentral:rRNA from 1 species